rnacentral:rRNA from 1 species
AGAGUUUGAUCAUGGCUCAGAUUGAACGCUGGCGGCAGGCCUAACACAUGCAAGUCGAACGGUAACAGGAAGCAGCUUGCUGCUUCGCUGACGAGUGGCGGACGGGUGAGUAAUGUCUGGGAAACUGCCUGAUGGAGGGGGAUAACUACUGGAAACGGUAGCUAAUACCGCAUAACGUCGCAAGACCAAAGAGGGGGACCUUCGGGCCUCUUGCCAUCGGAUGUGCCCAGAUGGGAUUAGCUUGUUGGUGGGGUAACGGCUCACCAAGGCGACGAUCCCUAGCUGGUCUGAGAGGAUGACCAGCCACACUGGAACUGAGACACGGUCCAGACUCCUACGGGAGGCAGCAGUGGGGAAUAUUGCACAAUGGGCGCAAGCCUGAUGCAGCCAUGCCGCGUGUAUGAAGAAGGCCUUCGGGUUGUAAAGUACUUUCAGCGGGGAGGAAGGGAGUAAAGUUAAUACCUUUGCUCAUUGACGUUACCCGCAGAAGAAGCAACGGCUAACUCCGUGCCAGCAGCCGCGGUAAUACGGAGGGUGCAAGCGUUAAUCGGAAUUACUGGGCGUAAAGCGCACGCAGGCGGUUUGUUAAGUCAGAUGUGAAAUCCCCGGGCUCAACCUGGGAACUGCAUCUGAUACUGGCAAGCUUGAGUCUCGUAGAGGGGGGUAGAAUUCCAGGUGUAGCGGUGAAAUGCGUAGAGAUCUGGAGGAAUACCGGUGGCGAAGGCGGCCCCCUGGACGAAGACUGACGCUCAGGUGCGAAAGCGUGGGGAGCAAACAGGAUUAGAUACCCUGGUAGUCCACGCCGUAAACGAUGUCGACUUGGAGGUUGUGCCCUUGAGGCGUGGCUUCCGGAGCUAACGCGUUAAGUCGACCGCCUGGGGAGUACGGCCGCAAGGUUAAAACUCAAAUGAAUUGACGGGGGCCCGCACAAGCGGUGGAGCAUGUGGUUUAAUUCGAUGCAACGCGAAGAACCUUACCUGGUCUUGACAUCCACGGAAGUUUUCAGAGAUGAGAAUGUGCCUUCGGGAACCGUGAGACAGGUGCUGCAUGGCUGUCGUCAGCUCGUGUUGUGAAAUGUUGGGUUAAGUCCCGCAACGAGCGCAACCCUUAUCCUUUGUUGCCAGCGGUCCGGCCGGGAACUCAAAGGAGACUGCCAGUGAUAAACUGGAGGAAGGUGGGGAUGACGUCAAGUCAUCAUGGCCCUUACGACCAGGGCUACACACGUGCUACAAUGGCGCAUACAAAGAGAAGCGACCUCGCGAGAGCAAGCGGACCUCAUAAAGUGCGUCGUAGUCCGGAUUGGAGUCUGCAACUCGACUCCAUGAAGUCGGAAUCGCUAGUAAUCGUGGAUCAGAAUGCCACGGUGAAUACGUUCCCGGGCCUUGUACACACCGCCCGUCACACCAUGGGAGUGGGUUGCAAAAGAAGUAGGUAGCUUAACCUUCGGGAGGGCGCUUACCACUUUGUGAUUCAUGACUGGGGUGAAGUCGUAACAAGGUAACCGUAGGGGAACCUGCGGUUGGAUCACCU